AUUGAACGCUAGCGGCAGGCCUAACACAUGCAAGUCGAACGAGUGGCGGACGGGUGAGUACUGUCUGGGAAACUGCCCGAUGGAGGGGGAUAACUACUGGAAACGGUAGCUAAUACCACAUACCAUCGGAUGUGCCCACAUGGGAUUCGCUAGUAGGUGGGGUAACGGCUCACCUAGGCGACGAUCCCUAGCUGGUCUGAGCGGAUGACCAGCCACGCUGGAACUGAGACACGGGCCAGACUCGUACGGGAGGCAGCAGUGGGGAAUGUUGCACAAUGGGUGCAAGCCUGAUGCAGGCAUGCGGCGUGUAUGAAGAAGGCCUUCGGGUUGUAAAGUACUUGCAGCGAGGAGGCGUUACUCGCAGAAGAAGCAUCGGCUAACUCCGUGCCAGCCGCCGCGGUAAUAC
rnacentral:rRNA from 1 species